rnacentral:rRNA from 1 species
GUGAUAAACCGGAGGAAGGUGGGGAUGACGUCAAGUCAUCAUGGCCCUUACGACCAGGGCUACACACGUGCUACAAUGGCGCAUACAAAGAGAAGCGACCUCGCGAGAACAAGCGGACCUCAUAAAGUGCGUCGUAGUCCGGAUUGGAGUCUGCAACUCGACUCCAUGAAGUCGGAAUCGCUAGUAAUCGUGGAUCAGAAUGCCACGGUGAAUACGUUCCCGGGCCUUGUACACACCGCCCGUCACACCAUGGGAGUGGGUUGCAAAAGAAGUAGG